GGGCGGUUAGCUCAGCUGGCAGAGCGUCUGGUUUACACCCAGCAGGUCGGCGGUUCGAACCCGUCACCGCCCACCA
rnacentral:tRNA from 2 species